rnacentral:rRNA from 1 species
UGGGGAAUAUUGGGCAAUGGAUGAAACUCUGACCCAGCGACGCCGCGUGAGGGAUGAAGGCCUUCGGGUUGUAAACCGCUUUCAGUAGGGAAGAAGCGAAAGUGACGGUACCUACAAAAGAAGCACCGGCUAACUAUGUGCCAGCAGCCGCGGUAAUACAUAGGGUGCAAGCGUUGUCCGGAAUUAUUGGGCGUAAAGAGCUCGUAGGUGGUCGAUCACGUCGGAUGUGAAAAUCUGAGGCUUAACCUCAGACCUGCAUUCGAUACGGGUUGACUAGAGUGUGGUAGGGGAGACUGGAAUUCCUGGUGUAGCGGUGGAAUGCGCAGAUAUCAGGAGGAACACCAAUGGCGAAGGCAAUCCCCUGGGCCUGUACUGACGCUCAUGCACGAAAGCGUGGGGA